rnacentral:rRNA from 1 species
GACAAAGCUACGAAGGGCACACGGUGGAUGUCUUGGCGUUGAGAGGCGAUGAAGGACGUGGGAACCUGCGAAAAGCCCAGAGGAGCUGGUAACCGAGCGUCGAUCCUGGGAUGUCCGAAUGGGGAAACCCGGCCCUUCGGGGCCACCGCCCGCUGAAUGCAUAGGCGUGCGGAGCGAACCCGGGGAACUGAAACAUCUCAGUACCCGGAGGAAAGGAAAGCAACAGCGACUCCGUGAGUAGCGGCGAGCGAAAGCGGAUGCGUACGCGGAAGAGCGAACGCGUUGGAAUGCGCGGCCUGAGAAGGUGAAAGCCCUGUACCCGGAAGCGUGCGUAAGCCCUUGAGUAGGUUCGGUGCCGUGGAACCCGGACUGAACACGGGGGGUCCACCCCCCAAGGCUAAGUACUCCUCAACGACCGAUAGUGGAUCAGUAAGGCGACUGAACGAUGACAAGCACCGCGAUGAGCGGGGUGAAAGAGUACCUGAAACCGUGUGCCUACAAGCGGUCGGAGCCUCCCGAAAGGGGGGUGACGGCGUGCUUUUUGCAUAAUGAGCCCGCGAGUUAGUCUGUGCGGCGAGCCUAAGGCCCAUCGGGCCGGAGGCGGAGCGAAAGCGAGUCUGAACAGGGCGUUCAGUCGCACGGGCUAGACGCGAAACCUAGUGAUCUCGUUGUCGUUGAAAAGACAUGGGAUGAGCUGUGGGGAGGACUUAAAGUGUAAUCAAACUGGGAGAUAGCUCGUUCUCUCCGAAAUAACUUUAGGGUUAGCCUCGGGAGCGCAACCGACGGGGGUAGAGCGACUGGAUGAGCGUUGGGGGCCACAAGCCUACCGCGCUCAACCAAACUCCGAAUACCGUCGGCCAAGACCCGGGAGAUAGACGGCGAGUGACAAUAUCCGUCGUCAAAAGGAGAACAAUCCAGACCGCCGGCUAAGGCCCCGAAUCUCCGCUGAGUUCGUAAGGAAGUCAGAUUGCCGUGACAGCCAGGAUGUUGGCUUAGAAGCAGCCACCAUUUCAAGAGUGCGUAAUAGCUCACUGGCCGAGGAGUCUGGCGCCGAAAAUGAUCGGGAAUAAGCGGGGAGCCGAAGCCGCGGACGCGCAAGCGUGGUAGGAGAGCGUUCCUCUCGGCGGUGAAGCGGUCCGGGAACGGUCCGUGGAGCGUGAGGAAGUGCAUAUGCGGGCUUGAGUAACGAUAAAGCGGGUGAGAAUCCCGCUCGCCGUAAGCCCAAGGGUUCCUGGGGAAGGUACAUCCGCCCAGGGUGAGGCGGGACCUAAGGCGAGGCCGAAAGGCGUAGUCGAUGGACAGCCGGUGAAUAUUCCGGCCCCCUCGCGGAGAUCGAAGCGCGGUGCAGAUUCCUCAGCUCGGGUGGGCGACCAGUUGUGCCCAGGCCCUUGUGGCCGUUCCCGGGGGCGGGAGUCUCCAGAAAAGCCGCGCGGGCGAAGCGAGGCCCGUACCAAAACUGACACAGGUGGGCGAGGCGAAUAGCCUCAGGCGCUCGAGAGAACGGUCGUGAAGGAACUAGGCAAAUUAACCCCGUACGUUCGCAAGAAGGGGGCCCUUCGGGGCGCAGAGAAAAGGCUCUGGGAACUGUUUAUCAAAAACACAGCUCUGUGCCAACUCGCAAGAGGAUGUAUACAGAGUGACGCUUGCCCGGUACCGGAAUGUCACGGGAGCGGGUCAGCUUCGGCGAAGCUCGCGACUUAAGCACCGGUAAACGGCGGCCGUAACUAUGACGGUCCUAAGGUAGCGAAGUUCCUUGUCGGGUAAGUUCCGACGCGCAUGAAUAGCGUAAUCACUGGAGCACUGUCUCCACGACCGACUCGGUGAAAUAGUAGUGGCGGUGAAGAUGCCGCCUACCCGCAGCAAGACGGAAAGACCCCGUGGACCUUUACUGCAGGCUCGCAUUGGUCACGAGCAUGUUCUGCGUAGGAUAGGUGGGAGGCUUCGAAGCCCGGGUUUCGGCCCGGGUGGAGCCAACGGUGAAAUACCACCCUGAAUACGUUUGUGGCCUAACCCCGAAUCCCGUGAAUCCGGGCGGGGGACCGUGCGUGUCGGGCAGUUUGACUGGGGCGGUCUCCUCCAAAAAGGUAACGGAGGAGCGCAAAGGUCGGCUCAGCGCGGAUGGAAACCGCGUUUCAGAGUGCAAGAGCACAAGCCGGCUCUACUGCGAGGCCGACGGGCCGAGCAGUCACGAAAGUGGGCUCUAGUGAUCCUGCGAUCCCGUGUGGAAGGGUCGUAGCUCAUCGGAUAAAAGGUACCCCGGGGAUAACAGGCUGAUCGCACCCGAGCGUCCAUAGCGGCGGUGCGGUUUGGCACCUCGAUGUCGGCUCAUCGCAUCCUGGGGCUGAAGGUGGUCCCAAGGGUUCGGCUGUUCGCCGAUUAAAGCGGUACGCGAGCUGGGUUCAGACCGGCGUGAGCCAGGUCGGUCCCUAUCUGCUGUGGGCGUUCCAGGCUUGAGAGGAGUCAACCCUAGUACGAGAGGACUGGGUUGGACCGACCCCUGGUGAUCCUGUUGCGGCGCUCGCCGCACCGCAGGGUAGCUACGUCGGGCAGGGAUAACCGCUGAAAGCAUCUAAGCGGGAAGCCCCCCUCGAGAUGAGGCCUGGUGGUCGAAAGACGGAAGACCCCUCGGAGACCACGAGGUUGAUAGGCCGCGCGUGCACGGGCUGAAAGGCCCUCAGCGGAGCGGUACUAACGGUCGAAGGCUUUGUCGCACC